CCUACGGGUGGCUGCAGUGGGGGAUAUUGGACAAUGGGCGCAAGCCUGACCCAGCGACGCCGCGUGAGUGAAGAAGGACCUCGGGUUGUAAACUUCUUUUGGCAGGGACGAAACAAAUGACGGUACCUGACUAAUAAGCCCCGGCUAACUACGUGCCAGCAGCCGCGGUAAUACGUAGGGGGCAAGCGUUAUCCGGAUUUACUGGGUGUAAAGGGCGUGUAGCCGGUGAAGCAAGUCUGAUGUGAAAUGCGAGGGCUCAACCCCCGGACUGCACUGGAAACUGUGUUUCUUGAGUGAAGGAGAGGCAGGCGGAAUUCCGGGUGUAGCGGUGAAAUGCGUAGAUAUAAGGAGGAACACCAGUGGCGAAGGCGGCCUGCUGGACAGUAACUGACGUUGAGGCUCGAAAGCGUGGGGAGCAAACAGGAUUAGAUACCCCGGUAGUC
rnacentral:rRNA from 1 species